AAUCAACCGAGAUUCCCUUAGUAGUGGCGAGCGAACGGGGACUAGCCCUUAAGUGGCUUUGAGAUUAGCGGAACGCUCUGGAAAGUGCGGCCAUAGUGGGUGAUAGCCCUGUACGCGAAAAUCUCUUGGUCAUGAAAUCGAGUAGGACGGAGCACGAGAAACUUUGUCUGAAUAUGGGGGGACCAUCCUCCAAGGCUAAAUACUACUGACUGACCGAUAGUGAACUAGUACCGUGAGGGAAAGGCGAAAAGAACCCCGGAGAGGGGAGUGAAAUAGAUCCUGAAACCGUAUGCGUACAAGCAGUGGGAGCCUACUUUGUUAGGUGACUGCGUACCUUUUGUAUAAUGGGUCAGCGACUUAUUUUCAGUGGCGAGCUUAACCGAAUAGGGGAGGCGUAGCGAAAGCGAGUCUUAAUAGGGCGUCUAGUCGCUGGGAAUAGACCCGAAAC
rnacentral:rRNA from 1 species